rnacentral:lncRNA from 1 species
GCUCCUGUAGCUGUGAACUGGCCUCAAGAGAUGCUUUUAGAAGGACUUUCCAACUUUUGAUGUCCACGGGGCGAUGGCAUGCAACUGCUCUAUGGUACUCCCGGAAGAUGCUGCUAAUAGAUCUCCAACCAAAACCCUCUUUGGAAGAAACCAGUCUUUAUUGUUACGAUCUUUCUGAAGUUCAGGUGAAAACUAAUACUACCAGAAAAAGAGAGUUGCUAUUCCCUGGCCAGUGCCACCAAUAGCCUGCUUGCUAUUCUCAGGCUCAUCUUCAGUCAGAAACAAUUGUCAACACUAGUCAGCAUCUGAGGACCAUGGAAAACCCAAAAAAUAAAAGCAGAACAAGGCUCA